rnacentral:rRNA from 1 species
CAGCAGCCACGGGAAUACGGAGGGUGCAAGCGUUAAUCGGAAUUACUUGGCGUAAAGCGCACGCAGGCGGUCUGUCAAGUCAGAUGUGAAAUCCCCGGGCUUAACCUGGGAACUGCAUUUGAAACUGGCAGGCUAGAGUCUUGUUGAGUGGGGUAGAAUUCCAGGUGUAGCGGUGAAAUGCGUAGAGAUCUGGAGGAAUACCGGUGGCGAAGGCGGCCCCCUGGACAAAGACUGACGCUCAGGUGCGAAAGCGUGGGGAGCAAACAGGAUUAGAUACCCCUGUAGUCCCUGUCUCUUAUAC